GAGUAGUUCCGGGCCACAGACUAAGAGCCUGUGCCAGCAAAGGAGCUGGGAGUGCGGACAUACAUGUCAACUACCUGGAAAUUAUCAAUGACUGCACGUGCCCAGCUCUUCUGGACCCUCUGAUGUUCUGUCACAUGGGAGCAAAUGGAGAGCUGGGACAUCCUUUGACCUCAGCCCUCAAAGGAUAAUUAACUUCUUGCUCAAUCCCUCAGCAUUUGACCAAAAUACCAAGAUAAAAAUGUAGGCCCGUGUUAGUACAAAAGGUCCUGCAUUCAACUGUCCUCCUUAUAUUGCCCAAGAAGUCUUGUGGAAUUCCAAGAAGAAUUCAAGGGGCCAGACCUGGAAUAUGCAUCAAUGAGAAUAAGACACUGACGAAGCUAACGACACUAACGGGGAAUGAGGAUAAUCGACUCCUGUCCUUUGUUUUACUCUUUAACCUAGUAAUAAAUCCCUUUAAAGGCC
rnacentral:lncRNA from 1 species